CUGGGAAACAGUCGACUUUUCCCCCGAUGGGAAGAAGUUUGAUCUGAACAUCUCUUUAUGUUUAAUUGUAACUUCAUGACAUAUUUGACCAAUUGCUUUUUACCGAUAGCCGAAUUAAAGAAGAAGGCAGACAAAGGAGUCCGGUGAUCGUAUCCUGCUCCUGCUCUUCCGCUCUGCUGGGAUGGAGGAGGAGAUUAAGCGGGGCUCGGGGCGCCCUCUGCUGGUCAAAGUUCUCCAGGACCAGGAAGGUCAGAAUCAAACUGAUGAGAUGCAUCCAGGAAGUUGCUCAGCAGGAAAACUGUGUCUUCAAAUUCUUCUUCAUGUGCUUGUUGAGACAAACACACAAACAGGAAGAAGAUGAUCUUGAUCGCUCUGCUCGUUGUUCUGACCUCCUCUGUCCAGUAGCUCCAGUUCACAGCUCUCUCUCUCUCUCUCUCUCUCUCCCUCCCUGCUCCCGAGCUCUCAGAGAGCCGCUCCCUCACCUGAGCAGUGUGCUGCUCCGCUCCAUUCACGGGA